rnacentral:rRNA from 1 species
GACGAACGCUGGCGGCGUGCUUAACACAUGCAAGUCGAACGGUGAAGCGCCUUCCUUUUUGGUGGGUGUGGAUGAGUGGCGAACGGGUGAGUAACACGUGAGUAACCUGCCCCCUUCUUCUGGAUAACCGCAUGAAAGUGUGGCUAAUACGGGAUAUUCUGGGUCUGUCGCAUGAUGGGUCUGGGAAAGAUAUUGUUUCGGUGGGGGCUGGGCUCGCGGCCUAUCAGCUUGUUGGUGGGGUGAUGGCCUACCAAGGCGGUGACGGGUAGCCGGCCUGAGAGGGUGGACGGUCACACUGGGACUGAGACACGGCCCAGACUCCUACGGGAGGCAGCAGUGGGGAAUAUUGCACAAUGGGCGCAAGCCUGAUGCAGCGACGCCGCGUGAGGGAUGGAGGCCUUCGGGUUGUGAACCUCUUUCGCCAGUGAAGCAGGCCUGCCUAGUUUGUGGGUGGGUUGACGGUAGCUGGAUAAGAAGCGCCGGCUAACUACGUG